GUGGAUUCGAUACCCGAGUAGUCCACGCUGUAAACGAUGGAUACUAGGUGUAGGAGGUAUCGACCCCUUCUGUGCCGGAGUUAACACAAUAAGUAUCCCACCUGGGGAGUACGGCCGCAAGGUUGAAACUCAAAGGAAUUGACGGGGGCCCGCACAAGCAGUGGAGUAUGUGGUUUAAUUCGAAGCAACGCGAAGAACCUUACCAGGGCUUGACAUCCCUCGAAGUUGGUAGAGAUAUCAACGUCCUUCGGGACGAGGAGACAGGUGGUGCACGGCGGUCGUCAGCU
rnacentral:rRNA from 1 species